CCCCAUAUGUAGCCAACACAACCUUAUAUCACAUAUCACAUGUUGCUAACUUUCGAUCUACUCACAGAUCUGCUCACUCGAGUUGUCAGUUAGGAUGUAGCUACACGGGCUGCUCACACAAGCUGUCAGGUUUCCACAACACAUGUCGGACUACCUAUCCACCAGUAGAACAUACAAGACCAGUACUCGGAAUGCCAAAACCUGUGUAACAUAUAUCAUG
rnacentral:lncRNA from 1 species